rnacentral:rRNA from 1 species
UACAGAGGGUGCAAGCGUUAAUCGGAAUUACUGGGCGUAAAGCGUGCGUAGACGGUUAUGUAAGUCGGGUGUGAAAGCCCCGGGCUCAACCUGGGAAUGCCAUUCGAGACUGCAUAGCUAGGGUGCGGAAGAGGGAAGCGGAAUUUCCGGUGUAGCGGUGAAAUGCGUAGAUAUCGGAAGGAACACCAGUGGCGAAGGCGGGUCUCUGGACAGUUCCUGACGCUGAGGCACGAAGGUCAGGGGAGCAAACGGG